UACGUAGGGACCGAGCGUUGUCCGGAAUCAUUGGGCGUAAAGAGCGUGUAGGCGGCCACUUAAGUCCUGCGUGAAAUCUUGCGGCUCAACCGCAAGCGGUCGUGGGAAACUGGGUGGCUAGAGUGCGGGAGAGGAGAGUGGAAUUCCUGGUGUAGCGGUGGAAUGCGCAGAUAUCAGGAAGAACACCCGUGGCGAAGGCGACUACCUGGCCUGUUCUUGACGCUGAGGCGCGAAAGCUAGGGGAGCAAACGGG
rnacentral:rRNA from 1 species